rnacentral:rRNA from 1 species
CCUACGGGUCGCACCAGUGGGGAAUAUUGCACAAUGGGCGCAAGCCUGAUGCAGCCAUGCCGCGUGUGUGAAGAAGGCCUUCGGGUUGUAAAGCACUUUCAGCGAGGAGGAAGGUGGUGAGCUUAAUACGCUCAUCAAUUGACGUUACUCGCAGAAGAAGCACCGGCUAACUCCGUGCCAGCAGCCGCGGUAAUACGGAGGGUGCAAGCGUUAAUCGGAAUUACUGGGCGUAAAGCGCACGCAGGCGGUCUGUCAAGUCGGAUGUGAAAUCCCCGGGCUCAACCUGGGAACUGCAUUCGAAACUGGCAGGCUAGAGUCUUGUAGAGGGGGGUAGAAUUCCAGGUGUAGCGGUGAAAUGCGUAGAGAUCUGGAGGAAUACCGGUGGCGAAGGCGGCCCCCUGGACAAAGACUGACGCUCAGGUGCGAAAGCGUGGGGAGCAAACAGGAUUAGAUACCCCUGUAGUC